GUGAGGUGGUUUGCUCUUACCUUAGGUUGAGCGCGUCGGGGGAAGGCAACCUUAGGAUCAAUCUGUGAAUGACAGAAACAUUUGGCGGAAAACCCCCAGAAGCCUUAAGACAUGGAUCUGUGAGCACCGCAGCAAUAUACGGACAGGUGAGACAAAAAAUCUGGUUGCUGUUCAUUUUGUACAAGCUGGACAUCCUAUUAGUUCUCUGAGAUACAUUGGAAUAGAAAUGGUCAAGAUGUCACGCAGAGGAGGGGACAUUGAGAGGAAACUUCUUCAAAGGGAAUCUUUCUGGAUCCACAGGCUCAACACACUGUCUCCUCUUGGCCUUAACGAGGAGUUUGACUUGAAACCAUUUUUAUAGUUUCAAUAUGUCCAAAUUGUGUUUUUUUAAAAUCCUAAUUGAACAUUGUAUGUAUAUUACUGUAAAUAUUGAUCACAUUCUUUGUAUAUGAUCAUAUAUUUUGAUAGAUUCACUAUAUUAAUAUUCAAUGUAUGUUAUACAUUUUUUACUUCCUGUUUCAGGAAGUAAAAAAUUCCACCCCCACCUGGGAUAUGGAUGCCUGAUGAAGACCUAAGGGUUGAAACGUUGUUUUAAAUAAAUAUCACCUGGGAGCAUGA